ACAGGGUCUACUCAGGUGCUUCAUCAAGAGAGACGUCCUGCAGGACAUCAGCACACUGCAGCUAACCAACCUGGAUGUAGCUGAUGAGAAGAACUGGCACCAGCUAAAGGACACUGACAUUGGCUUGGGUGCUGAGUCAGCCCUCAAGCCUCCACAGGUUCAUUGGGUUCAGUCCCACAGCUGAAGAGUUUCUUCUUCCU